rnacentral:rRNA from 1 species
GAGUUUGAUCCUGGCUCAGAACGAACGCUGGCGGCGUGCCUAACACAUGCAAGUCGAACGUGAUCCAGAGCUUGCUCUGGUGAAAGUGGCGCACGGGUGAGUAACGCGUGGAUAACCUACCCUGGUAUCCGGGAUAACAUUCCGAAAGGGGUGCUAAUACCGGAUAAGCCCACGGGCUCUUUGGAGCUUGCGGGAAAAGGUGGCCUCUAUUUAUAAGCUACUGUAUCAGGAUGGGUCCGCGUACCAUUAGCUAGUUGGCGGUGUAACGGACCACCAAGGCGACGAUGGUUAGCUGGUCUGAGAGGAUGAUCAGCCACACUGGAACUGAGACACGGUCCAGACUCCUACGGGAGGCAGCAGUGGGGAAUUUUGCGCAAUGGGGGAAACCCUGACGCAGCAACGCCGCGUGAGUGAUGAAGGCCUUUGGGUCGUAAAGCUCUGUCAGAGGGGAAGAAAUGAUAUAGUGCUAAUACUACUUUAUCUUGACGGUACCCUCAAAGGAAGCACCGGCUAACUCCGUGCCAGCAGCCGCGGUAAUAC